CGUGUAGGUGGUCAGGUAAGUCAGAUGUGAAAGCCUUCUGCUUAACAGAAGAAGUGCAUUUGAAACUGCUUGGCUAGAGUACGGGAGAGGAGAGUGGAAUUCCCGGUGUAGAGGUGAAAUUCGUAGAUAUCGGGAGGAACACCAGUGGCGAAGGCGGCUCUCUGGUCCGAUACUGACGCUGAGACGCGAAAGCGUGGGGAGCAAACAGGAUUAGAUACCCUGGUAGUCCACACCGUAAACGAUGGGCACUAGGUGCAGGAGGUAUUGACCCCUUCUGUGCCGAAGCUAACGCAUUAAGUGCCCCGCCUGGGGAGUACGGCCGCAAGGCUAAA
rnacentral:rRNA from 1 species